rnacentral:lncRNA from 1 species
UUGGCAUGGAAGAAAUUAGGAUUUAUUUCUUUUUUUCGCACAUAUUGGGCGCCCUUCACAAGGGGCCGAUGUGUUGAAGGAUAUAGAUCAACAUAGGUUUUAAAAUUCAUACUACUUUGAAUUCAAAACCAAUCCAACCUAAUCCUAUCACUAAUGGGCAACAAUAGGAGGCUUUGGCAUAGAUUAGUCAGUGCAUAAAAUAAUUUGUGCAAUGAAAGAAGGCAUGG